rnacentral:rRNA from 1 species
AACGAACGCUGGCGGCAGGCUUAACACAUGCAAGUCGAACGCAUCCUUCGGGGUGAGUGGCAGACGGGUGAGUAACGCGUGGGAACGUGCCCUUCAGUUCGGGAUAACCCAGGGAAACUUGGGCUAAUACCGGAUACGUGCGAGAGCAGAAAGAUUUAUCGCUGAAGGAUCGGCCCGCGUCUGAUUAGCUAGUUGGUGGGGUAAUGGCCCACCAAGGCGACGAUCAGUAGAUGGUCUGAGAGGAUGAUCAGCCACAUGGGGACUGAGACACGGCCCAAACUCCUACAGGAGGCAGCAGUGGGGAAUAUUGGACAAUGGGCGCAAGCCUGAUCCAGCCAUGCCGCGUGAGUGAUGAAGGCCUUAGGGUUGUAAAGCUCUUUCGUCCGGGACGAUAAUGACGGUACCGGAAGAAGAAGCCCCGGCUAACUUCGUGCCAGCCGCCGCGGUAA